rnacentral:miRNA from 1 species
AAGACUGAGAGGAGGGA